rnacentral:rRNA from 1 species
AGCCAGACUCCUACGGGAGGCAGCAGUGAGGAAUAUUGGUCAAUGGGCUUACGCCUGAACCAGCCAAGUCGCGUGAGGGAAGACUGCCCUAUGGGUUGUAAACCUCUUUUGUCAGGGAGCAACGCCGGCUACGUGUAGCCGGACUGAGAGUACCUGAAGAAAAAGCAUCGGCUAACUCCGUGCCAGCAGACGCGGUAAUACGGAGGAUGCGAGCGUUAUCCGGAUUUAUUGGGUUUAAAGGGUGCGUAGGCGGAGUGACAAGCACGGGGUAAAAUCGGGGGGCUCAACCUCGGCACGCCGUUGAAGCUGGCGUUCUUGAGUGGGCGAGAAGUAUGCGGAAUGCGUGGUGGAGCGGUGAA